rnacentral:rRNA from 1 species
AUUGAACGCUGGCGGCAGGCCUAACACAUGCAAGUCGAGCGGAUGACGGGAGCUUGCUCCUUGAUUCAGCGGCGGACGGGUGAGUAAUGCCUAGGAAUCUGCCUGGUAGUGGGGGACAACGUUUCGAAAGGAACGCUAAUACCGCAUACGUCCUACGGGAGAAAGCAGGGGACCUUCGGGCCUUGCGCUAUCAGAUGAGCCUAGGUCGGAUUAGCUAGUAGGUGAGGUAAUGGCUCACUUAGGCGACGAUCCGUAACUGGUCUGAGAGGAUGAUCAGUCACACUGGAACUGAGACAAGGUCCAGACUCCUACGGGAGGCAGCAGUGGGGAAUAUUGGACAAUGGGCGAAAGCCUGAUCCAGCCAUGCCGCGUGUGUGAAGAAGGUCUUCGGAUUGUAAAGCACUUUAAGUUGGGAGGAAGGGCAGUAAGUUAAUACCUUGCUGUUCUGACGUUACCGACAGAAUAAGCACCGGCUAACUCUGUGCCAGCCGCCGCAGUAACAC